rnacentral:tRNA from 1 species
AAUGAAAUUUAUAGUAAGAGGAAAAUCCGUCGACUUUAAAAAUCGUGAGGG